CUCAUACUAGACCAUAGGACACCUGAGGUGUUCACUCACACUAGACCAUAGGACACCUGAGGUGUUCACUCACACUAGACCAUAGGACACCUGAGGUGUUCACUCACACUAGACCAUAGGACACCUGAGGUGAUCUACUCACACUAGACCAUAGGACACCUGAGGUGAUCUACUCACACUAGACCAUAGGACACCUGAGGUGAUCUACUCACACUAGACCAUAGGACACCUGAGGUGAUCUACUCACACUAGACCAUAGGACACCUGAGGUGAUCUACUCACACUAGA